GGGGGGAGUGUGCAAUGUGCAGUUGACUACACAGAGGCGAGAGAGAGAGAGCGAGAGAGAGAGAGAGAGAGAGAGAGAGCAGCCCGCCGGCCCAUUGAGGAAAGAUGGCUACAGUCACUGCAAACGGAGUGCAGCAAGAGAAUGGAUUCAGCACCACGAACAGCGCCGGCAGGAUGAACGGGCUUACCAUCGGCCAGAACACCAUUCCAAUGAAGGACCACGACGCCAUCAAGCUUUUCAUCGGGCAGAUUCCCAGAAACCUGGAGGAAAAAGACCUGAAACCCCUGUUUGAGGAAUUCGGAAAGAUAUACGAACUCACUGUUCUGAAAGACAGGUUUACGGGAAUGCAUAAAGGAUGUGCCUUUCUAACAUACUGUGCCAGAGAGUCAGCACUGAAGGCCCAGAGCGCCCUCCAUGAACAGAAGACUCUGCCAGGGAUGAACCGGCCCAUCCAGGUGAAACCUGCUGACAGCGAAGGACGAGGAGAAGACAGGAAGCUGUUUGUUGGGAUGCUCGGCAAGCAGCAAAGUGAGGAUGAUGUCCGGCGGCUGUUCGAGACCUUCGGCCAGAUUGAGGAGUGCACCGUCCUCCGAGGGCCUGAUGGGGCCAGUAAGGGCUGUGCCUUUGUCAAGUUCUCCAGCCAUGCAGAAGCACAGGCCGCCAUCAACAGCUUGCAUGGUGGUCAGACUAUGCCUGGUGCCUCGUCGAGCCUGGUGGUCAAAUUUGCCGACACUGAUAAGGAGAGAACCCUGCGCAGAAUGCACCAGAUGGCAGGCCAGCUCGGCAUCUUCAGUCCCAUGACCAUCCAGUUUGGGGCCUAUGGCGCCUACUCUCAUGCUGUAAGUCUCAGCCCGGCGGGGGAGGAGACGCAGAUGAUGCAACAGCAAGCAGCCCUGAUGGCAGCAACACAAGGGUCCUACCUGAACCCUAUGGCAGCCAUCGCUGCCGCACAAAUGCAGCAAAUGGCAGCUUUCAAUGUCAACGGCCUGGUGGCUACUCCCAUGACACCUUCCUCAGGCACCAGCACACCCCCAGGCAUCUCUGCCACAGCCGUGCCCAGCAUAGCCACUCCUAUUGGGGUCAAUGGAUUCAGUGCCCUCCCACCUCAAAGCAAUGGGCAGCCCACAUCCGAGCCCAUUUACACCAAUGGUAUUCACCCUUACCCAGCACAGAGUCCAACAGUGACCGACCCUCUCCAACAGGCUUAUGCUGGCGUCCAGCACUACGCAGCAGCCUACCCUGCCGCCUAUGCGCCAAUCAGCCAAGCGUUCCCCCAGCAACCAACCAUCAUUCCCCAGCAACAGAGGGAAGGGCCAGAAGGUUGCAACCUGUUUAUUUAUCACCUGCCCCAGGAGUUUGGAGACGCUGAGCUCAUGCAAAUGUUCCUACCUUUUGGCAACGUCAUCUCCGCCAAAGUGUUUGUGGACCGAGCGACUAAUCAGAGCAAAUGUUUCGGCUUUGUGAGUUUUGAUAACCCAUCCAGUGCUCAAGCCGCUAUCCAGGCCAUGAAUGGCUUUCAGAUAGGCAUGAAGAGGCUGAAGGUGCAGCUAAAGCGGCCAAAAGAUGCCAACCGACCUUACUGACUCGUCUGCUAUUCAUACCCAGGCCAAUCACAGUGUGAGGUGGCCUUUCUCCGCUAUAGCCACACACCCCCACACCUGUCAUGGGGCCAAGUUCCCUCAGCUGAUGAAGGGCCACAACACCUUAUUUCCACAAGUGCAGUAAAAGUACAAAGACUUCUUGCUCUGCUACAUAUCAUGAAGGAAGGGUGGUCCCUUGAUCCUCCUGGAAAGCCGCUGAAAGAUUGGGUGACUGAGAGAAGGAUCCCAGAGUUGUCGGGUUUUUUUGUUUGUUUAUUUAUUUUCGUUUUUCUUCGCAAAUGCCUCUUUUUUUCCUCUUUUGCUUUGGCGUCUGUGGAAGAAGAUUUUUUGCAGAGACCAACUUUUUGCUGCUGUUUUUUAGACAUGAUGGAAAAAAAAAAACCUUUAUAGACUCAUUAUGCUCAAAGCAUGCAUACUGACACAGGAUAUAGAUAAACACAGAAAACAAAUCAAACAUACACAUUUCAAAAAUGCUACACUUAAAGAAAAAAAAAGGAAAAAAAAAACUUUGUACAUGUAUAAAUAAGUGCAAAUGCCAACACAAGAACUGAAGCAAACUCAUGCGUGUGCGCACACACACACACAAAACAUACAAACACACACACCAGCCUGCUGCCAUUUUGGUUUUUGUGCCUACACAGGUGUUGUGCUCUGUGACAGGGCAAGCUCUGGAUCGAAGAAGAAAACAAGAAGAAAAGGAGAAAAGUGGAGAAUCCAGGAUAAUUUACAUGCAUCAUUCCUUAGGAAAUAGGGACCAAAGGACUAAACGCUUUUUAAAAGAAUAUAAAUAUAUAAAUAUAUAAAUAUAUAUUUAAAAACUCAUACCUUGUAGCUGCAAGUAUUACAAUUUACUCGUAGUAAAAAAAAAAACAAACAAAAACAUUAAAUCAAUAUCCAGUGGCCUACUGUAAGUAUGAAUAAAAGAACAUGGAAAUAAUGUAUAAAAAAAGACAUGGAAACGUAGUAUAGGGGCUGAUCUUUUGCUCUGGAUGCUGAUUUAGCACCAGGUUGUAGAGUAGUAGAGUAGACUAGAAAAAAAAAGUGUAGAUUUGCUAACUUUUGCUGUUGUUUAAAAAAAUACUUGAAGUUGUAAUGAAAAUGGGGCAAAAGAGGGGUGGGAUGGUGUGGGGGGAAGCAUUCAUCUGCCCCUGUACGCAACAACUCUCUUUCUCUUGGAUGUUAACGUAUCAGCCACUGGAUAUCACGCUCAUCAUGAUGUACAAGUCACCGCACUCUCUGACAGAUAUGGAGAUGAUCUUCUGGAAGAAAACAAAAGAAUAAGAAGAAAAAAAAGACUGACUUUACUGAUGUCUGUGCUGGACGGGGUGCAGAUGUUUAAGGCUUCACUGGCCUUUGUGUUCAAGCGACAAUCCACUGUAAAGACCAAGUAAAAUGGACAUGGGGUGUCUUUUUUUUUUUUUGUUGUUGUUGGCCUUUUUGUAUUGCUACAUGAAGUGUGAAAUAUGAAGCCACAAACUUCUAAAAGGAGAUGAUUAAAAGUGAGAUGGACAAAUGGAUGGUCAUGACCGAAAGAGUAAAGAGGGAAGGAGAAAAAAGUGAUAGCUAUUGUAACUGCCAGCAGAAUGUAUUUGGUUUAGUAAUGAAUUGGCUCUUGUGGUAUCAGCAUUCUCUCAAAAAAACAAAGUAUGCCCAUCAUCAGCAGCCACAAAUUUUGAGUGACAUGUCAAGGAUAUGUGUGUGUCCACUGAAGCUGCUGCAAAACUCUAGACUGAGAAAAAUUCAUUCUUGUCUGUUGGCAAAUUUCUCUAAUGAUGAAUUCAAUUUACUUCUGUAUUGCAGGAAAGGAGUGACGGCUUUUAGAGCACAUUUACCUGUGUAAUGUUAAUUCCACUGUUAACAUGCUCCCUGACCUGCGUAAUGUACACAUUAUUCAUAAAGUCCAUGGUAAAAAAAAAGUAGAGCUUAAUGGCCUCGAUCUAAGAUAAUUCUAACAGUCACUCUUAAAAUCAUUCAACUCAUCUUUAGCUACACUGACACUGAUGCCAGGCACUCCAGUAGUGUCGUGUCUUGAUUUAGAGUCCUGUAGCCUCUGUUUUUUAACAAUUUACAGCUCUGGAAGCAGGCUCCUCUCUAAAACCAGAUCAAUAUGUUUCGAGUGAGUCUAGGGGGAGGAGCGAUGCUGUUUCAGUCACCACGAGCACUUCCCAAUUUUCUCCGCCGAACACCAGCUCAAAUCCAUAUACCAGCCCUCUAAGCACUGACAGCUGGCAAGGCUAGACAGGAGCAGGGAGAGAGUGGGGAGAAGAGGGGAAGUCAAGAACUCAUCACACCGAGAUCCUUUAAGCUGAUGCUGGUAGGUGAUGCCAGAUGAUUUAACCAAAAAAAAUAGAAACCCUAAUCAAGCUCUGGUGGCAAACAGUAUACAUAAUCUAAUCAUAAUCUGUGUUAUAUGCUUUCAAAAGCAGAUUAAACAGUCAAGUAGGACCUCAAGUUAAUACUUUAGGCACCAGUCCAACGAGCUCAUGUUAAGUAAUGAGAGUCUUCUUCUCCCUCUUUUUUGUUGAACUAGAAAAUCAGACCAGAAUUGGUCCAAAUCACUAAAGAAGGGACUGAUUAAAUGUGCCAGCAGAUUUCAUAGUUUUUAAUAUACUGCCUUUGCCACUUAAAAAAAAGCUGAAGGUACUAAUUUCAGCCCUUGAUAUUAACAUUCCACGUAGCACUUCCUUUUCUCCCGUCCUUAGAGCAGCCAUGCCUUUCUAAAUCACGGCACAAUUGUUUAGCGGCUCUCCCGUUGGAGCAGCAUUUUCGAACCUACCUAAUGCCUGUGCUCACUACCCUUCAAUUAUCUCUUGCACCACAUUAGACAUGCUAUUUCACCUUUCUCCCUAAUCACACUGUAAUCAUCAGCCUCUAUACAUUAGCAGCAACCAAGUGAAAAAUCACUGGGAUAAUCACUUGGACCAAAUGACGGGAGAGAUGGUCCCCUGCAUGCACAUGGAUGACAGAAGGAAGAUUAGGGAGAAUUAUGUUUGCGCCUACUCCCUGGCAAGGCUGGUGACAGCUGACCUGGCACCAAUAAUGUAGCCGAAUUUACCGAAGAGGCAAUGCAGGAUGAGGGAUAAAACCUUCCAUAUCAUAGCAAGGUUUUAAUGUUCCAGAGUAAUUUGACCAAAAACUAAAAGAGAAGGGCAGGUAGCAAAAUUGAUUUAGUUUUUGUUUUCUAUCACAAACAUUGCAGCAAUAGUUGCUUAAAACUGGGUCAAAUCCAACAUUUUUUACUAGAAAUCCUCAAUUCUGUUACUGUUCAGCUGCAGUGAGGCCUGUUGUUGUGAAUUUUCUUUCAGCAGCAACACUGCAUCUCAGAAGAUGAUGCCUGCAAGUUAUAGCCUCAUUCAUAUAUAUAUAUCUAUAUAUAUAGAUAUAGAUAUAGAUAUAGAUAUAUAUAUAAUCUAUAUAGAUGGGUGAAUGAGGUAUGGUUGAAUAUAUAUAUCAGCUCUUAAGGACUUCUUAAGGAUUGCCUUUAAAUACUGUAAGAUAAAACCCAGCCCUCCCUCUGUCAUUUCAUUUGACAUGUGUUACUGAUAGAAGGAGCUUUGUGAAUUAAUGUGAAGUAAGUAAAAACAAAGCCAUGUUCUACAAACCAUUUAUGCUCAUUAUUUAAGUGAAGCUGAACUAAUCAAUGGGAAAUCUAAUGUUCCAUGAGCAAUGCAAUAUCCUCUGCUUGUCUUGGCCAUCUCUAGAAUACAUUUCCAACAUGAACCUUGCAUGGUUGAUCCUGUAAUCUUUUCUGUCUUAUACCAGAUGCUGUACUAGUUCCCACUACUAAUGGCAGGUUGAGUCCCCAGUGAGCCAAAACUCAGCCUAGCCUUGUAUCCUGCUGUCUGCUUGGCUAACAGUGCAGCGAUCAUGUAGCAUAUCUGCUAUGCCAGGGCUAAAUUAGGCAAUGUGAAAUCAGUACUUCAACAUUUUUAAAACGGGUGCUCCUAUUACAUUUACACUCCAGGGAGAAUGUUGCUGAAGUGUUGUGCAUUAAAAGCAGAAAUAGCUGUGAAACACUAGAACUGCACUAAAACUACCAAAAUGAGGAAAAAAAUAGAAAGAAAAUAGAUCUUCUCAUUACCCAUUUAUUAAAGAGGCUCUUGCCUGAUUUGCCCUUAGCCUGGACUGGAGACAAGAGCAGACUGAGGCUAUGUUUCACCUCUAAAAUCACAGACAAAUGUCAACCCAGCAGGCACACUACCAAGCUGUUGCCAAACUGUGAUUUGAUAUUUGCCGUCCAGCUUACAAAAAGAAAAUGUAACUAAGCGUUUUUGCCAAAAGAAAUACAUAAGAUUUGAAUAAGUUCUUAGAAUAUAAUAUUUAGCAUGCUAGGCAAAAGAAAAAAUAUAUAUGUGAACAUGAAAAAGUAUAAAUAUCCCCAAAGAGGUAAAGCUUAUCUUCUCUAUCUUCUCAUACUGCACUGCCUUUAUUUGCCAUUUUUCAAUCAGUGAUGAGCAAAAGUAAUACUUAGGUAUAGUCAGUUCUUUGUGAGCAUUUAAACCAUUUGCCUCUGGCUUAUGCACCUAGAAAUUUGGAGGUUAUAUAGUAUGAAGUAUGCCCCUUUCCUCAGUUGCCACUACACCACUUUUCACAAGAUCUGUCUGCUUAAGGAGCAUGUAUCCUUAGAGGUUCCCAGCCAAUGGCAGGGCAGAGCACAAGUCUGUUUGAGAAUGAAUCUCCCACCCCUGGGUGCAUAACACUCACCCUAAAAUAGCAGUGAUUGUCAAGGAAAGGAAGUGAAAUGUAAUUGACUGAAAGUGGAGCGAUAAUUAAAGGAACCUGUUGGACAGGAGGGAAGAAAUUAAUGCUUCUCAUUUAAUAGCUGCUUUGGGAGAAAGCUUUUUCAGCAUCUUGGUUUAACGCAGUGAGGGUUUGCUGUGGAAAUGAGAUUUUGUAUUGAAAAAGGUAGCAAUGGAAAUAGUGGAAGCAGGCACUGGGUGGUGGGGGUGCUGUGUGCUUAACUGAAACUCCACAAAAUCACUCCCAAUACUCAGGGCAUCAGGGACUAUGAUGUCAUGAUUAGUGGAGAGGUUCAGAGCCUUGCCUUACCCCUUAACCUGAAGGCAUUUGAGUAGAUAAAUAUGAGGACAGCAGAAGCUGUACGAUCACAUGUCACUGUGGGGUGUCCUGAGCCAGCAGAAGGGCUGAUGAACCACCUAAUAUUGUGCUUUGGAUUUAUAGUAUUACCAUCCCAUUCAAAGAGAAACAAAGAAACACAAAAGAUGCCAUUAUCAACCCAACACUGCACAGUGGUUUGCUGAAGGUAUGAAAUUAUGUUCAGAAACAUGUCUGAAAGAAAUGAAGACAAAGACUUUUUUUAAUUUCUUAAUGUAAAUAGACUAUAAAAUACAAAAAAACAGAGGAAGGGUGUACAGCAACUUGUGUUGAAAAGUCCAACUCUGUGGGACAAUGAUGUCAAUAUAAAAUGUAUCCACAGCAGUGCAGGGAUUUAGGAGAGUUUUAGUCCUUAUAAGCCCCUUCGGUUUGGGCUGUGAACAUGCAUCCUACAACUCUAAGUGUCUGGCCAAGGCUUAGAGAGUAUUUGACUUAGUGUCAAACCUAAGCCAUGGCCCUGAAGUGAUCCGGUAAUUAAGAUUCUGUGUACACCGACAUGUCAUGAUUUUUCUGACAGAAGAAAGAUUGCCUGUGCCGUAAUUGGAUUAGUCCAGUUGGGGCUGAUGAACAGAUAUGACACUGACAGUAGAGUUCAUCCAUCUGCAUGCUUUCCGCUUGACAGUGUGAAAAAAACCAUCAGCCAGCACCACUCUUUUUUAAAUUCUUUGGAAGUAAAAGUUGAGGCUUUACAGCAUUUAAGACGCUAGUUUUAGAAAAUAAAACUCCAGGUUACAGUGUGUUCAACAUGUACAUAAACCAUUUUGGAAUCAAACAUUUAAUACACAUGGUUUAAAAUAUACGAACACGGUUAGGUUGAGUUUAGAGGAAGGGGACAAACAAGAGAACUAUGUUGAUCCCAGCAGAACCCCCUGCUUGCUUGACCCAGUCUGACACUGCUCUCCUGACCACACAGCUGCAUUACACCUGUACAUACAAUAUAGCUUAUUUUUCAAUUCUGUUAAACAUUCUUUAUAGGCCGUACAAUAGAUCAUGUUCAAACAGAAAAAAAGAAAGAAUAGUUAAUAUAUUUCAGUGAAACUAAGAAAAGGAACCUAUGAAAUAAUUUAUCAAAAACAGAAGAUAAAAUGAUUUUAUUUCUUGCAGAGUGAAGCACGGAUGUUCAGAAAUGGGAUUUUAUACUCAUGUUUGAAAACACGUCUUUAUUUUCUCUCUUUUGUUUUGUUAUUAUCGGUUGAAGCUGGGAUAGACCCAUUGUCAUGAGGUUUAUUCAGAUGUGCUUUGAUCAUUGUUCUUUUUUUUCAUUUAAUUUUUUUGGCUGCACAAUCCCUGUGUAAAAUCCCUUGUGGAUUGGAAAGUUCAAAGAGAUUUUGUUCAAUGAAAGCUCUUACAUCAAUACAAGAAUUAGCAAACUGCACUGUAAAAGGAUGAUUGAUGGUACUGGUUUUGUGGAUUCAGAAAAAAGGGUCCUUUGCACAACUGAGGUUAAAAGGAUCAGAAUUGCAUGUUCAAACGCAAUUUUAUUUUUUGGACCUUUUGUUGUUUUAAGAAAAAAAAUCAAACUUUGCCAUCAGAUUGUUUUGGGGACUUAUGCUGCCAUAUGUCAUUAUGUUUAAGCCAUUGUUGCUUUCCUGUAAUGAAGUUCUCUCUAUGUCCUUUUCUUGCCUUAUAUUUUGAAGGGUUAAUUGCAUUUAUUGACCUGAUUUUCAUAUCUUUUUUUGUUCAUGGGACAGUUCUUCCACAGGUUGUUAUCUGAUGUGACACCAUCCACUGAAGACAUUGUGCCAAAAGUAGAUCACGCUGCUUUUCUCCAGUUUUUUGGUUUGUUAUGCGAGGAGGAAAUUCUGCCUUAAACCCAGCCUGUUCUCUCUGACAGUACUACCUGUGAACAGUGGUCAGACACGCUGUAUUCUGGGGAUGCCAAAUGUUCUUCGAAACAAACACUCUGCCAGAAUCAGUUUUGCCUCAAGCUCAUUCUGACACAAAUAAGGAUGCGGUCAUCCAUUACCAUUUCCAUUGGUUACAAGGACCAAAAUGUAAACAAACUCAGAUAACUGAGAAGUUUGCUCCAAUCAAGCAUUCAAAUGAGAGCCUUUAAAGUGUUCGUAUUUAGUCAUAGGCAAUUUUGCACCAUGAAGAUUUUUACCAUGAAUCAUUGCAUUCCCAGCUUCACAGUCUAAUUUCACUGUUGUUAUUCAUUGCCAUAAAAACUCACAAUCUAUUUAGGUAUUUAAAUUUACAGUGAAUGAAAAAAAACCUCAUUUAUUUUGUUGGGUUUUUUUGUCUUGAACAAUCUGAGUUACUGUUUUCUUUCUUUUCAUUUGAAACAGAGAUGUAAUUUGAAUUAGCAUUGGCUCUGGUCCGUUUCCCUGAUUCAGGAUGAUAUUUCCCAUAGUGCUCCUGAACUCUGUAGUUCUCUAGUUCAUUAUAUUCUGCUUAGACUAAAAUAAAGCACAGUCCUGUAGAAGA